UCCGGAAUUAAACACUACUAUGAAAGUUGUCUCCUCUAGAACCCUACCAAUCUCUCCCCUUUCUUCAACCCCAAUUCACGAUGCCCCCGUUUUAUGUUCGCGGUCGCCGUGAAAUAGUGUGAUGCGGAGAAUUGAAAGGGGAAACUACCGGGGUGUUAGAUUGCCCUAGAACUCUAAACAUGACAGAAGGUCACCAAAAUUUAGGCCGCCUUUUAUAAACAAUCGACUGCCAUUUUUAAUCUAUUCUAUGUAAUUCUCAAAUAUCUGGUCGAAGAUAUUAAGAUUUUGCACGACAAAUUAGAUCGGAAAAGAAUCUUGUAGAUACUUGUUUGCGAUGCUUGACCGGAAAAGAAGCUUGUAGAUGUUUGUGAAAGGAAGGUAAAUGACCAUUACGAUUAUGUGUUUGAUGAUUUAGAUUGUGGAUGGUGUAGGGUAUCUUGUAAAUAUCAGCUUUAUUGACAAGUUGGAUAAGGAACAUUGAUGUUAGGACUGAAAUUGAUCAAUCAUUCUGUUGAAUUCAAGAGUAGAGAAGGAAUUAGUAAGCAUGUACAAUGAUACUAGAGAUUGUUAGUUCCUUUCUACACUGUUAGGAGUUUCGGGUUCAAAUAUCUUGAGCUUUCUGCAAAAUUAUUAUUAUUUGCCACAAGUUGAUUAAAAUAUCCAUUUUGUCAAGGUGAUGUUGAUAUCGUUUCUUUCUACAUAUGAUACUUUAACACUGGAAACUAAUACUUUUCAUGUUAUUUCUCUUUGAUUUAGCUUAUAGAAAGCAUUAUCCACCAUUCUCGGGACAAUGAAAAUAUGGCAAUUAGAAAAAGAUUGCAAGAGAUGUUGUUCACCUAAACGGCUGCCUGAGAAGGAUAGUAGCAGUCGCAUGGCUCCUGUACUUCUUCAAGAUAUUAUAUGAGUUCUUGGAAGAAGAGUUAAGAGGAAUGUGAGAGCAACUAAUUCAGAGGAAUCCUGGACUUGAGGAAAACAUGAACACUAAAUCUAAAACUAUUACCAGUGUUCUUUUGGAACUUUCAAGGGAAAGUUUACGUAAUUGAAUGUUGAAGUAACUCUGUAUUUGAUUCAUAUUGUUUGUACUGUAUCGGGAAUUAAAGUAUUGGAAUGAGAGUCGAUGUUACUUUGAAUA